rnacentral:rRNA from 1 species
AGUGAACGCUGGCGGUAGGCCUAACACAUGCAAGUCGAACGGCAGCACAGGAGAGCUUGCUCUCUGGGUGGCGAGUGGCGGACGGGUGAGGAAUACAUCGGAAUCUACUUUUUCGUGGGGGAUAACGUAGGGAAACUUACGCUAAUACCGCAUACGACCUACGGGUGAAAGCAGGGGACCUUCGGGCUUUGCGCGAUUGUAUGAGCCGAUGUCGGAUUAGCUAGUUGGGGGGGGAAAGGCCCACCAAGGCGACGAUCCGUAGCUGGGCUGAGAGGAUGAUCAGCCACACUGGAACUGAGAAACGGUCCAGACUCCUACGGGAGGCAGCAGUGGGGAAUAUUGGACAAUGGGCGCAAGCCUGAUCCAGCCAUACCGCGUGGGUGAAGAAGGCCUUCGGGUUGUAAAGCCCUUUUGUUGGGAAAGAAAUCCAGCUGGCUAAUACCCGGUUGGGAUGACGGUACCCAAAGAAUAAGCACCGGCCAACUUCGUGCCAGCCGCCGCCGUAA